AUUUCCCCACCCCUAUUUCUACUUCCCAGAGUUAGUCAUUCUCAAAAAUGUAUAUAUAUACACAUGUAUAUGUAUGUGUAUAUAUAUACAUUUUUGAGAAUGACUAACUCUGGGAAGUAGAAAUAGGGGUGGGGAAUA
rfam:Homo sapiens chromosome 4, GRCh38 reference primary assembly.